CAAUAGCGUAUAUUAAAGUUGUUGCAGUUAGAACGCUCGUAGUCGGAUUUCGGGGCGGGCCGACCGGUCUGCCGAUGGGUACGCACUGGUCGGCGCGUCCUUCCUUCCGGAGACCGUUCCUACUCUUAACUGAGCGGGGGCGGGAGACGGAUCGUUUACUUUGAAAAAAUCAGAGUGUUUCAAGCAGGCAGCUCGCUCUUGCAUGGAUUAGCAUGGGAUAAUGAAAUAGGACUUUGGUGCUAUUUUGUUGGUUUCGAACACCGAAGUAAUGAUUAAAAGGGACAGUCAGGGGCACUCGUAUUCCGCCGAGAGAGGUGAAAUUCUCAGACCAGCGGAAGACGAACCACUGCGAAAGCAUUUGCCAGGGAUGUUUUCACUGA
rnacentral:rRNA from 1 species